AUUGAACGCUGGCGGAAUGCUUUACACAUGCAAGUCGAACGGCAGCACGGGUGCUUGCACCUGGUGGCGAGUGGCGAACGGGUGAGUAAUGCACCGGAACGUAUCCAAUAAUGGGGGAUAACGCACCGAAAGGUGUGCUAAUACCGCAUACGCCCUGAGGGGGAAAGCGGGGGAUCGUAAGACCUCGCGUUAAUGGAGCGGCCGAUGCCGGAUUAGCUAGUUGGUGAGGUAAAGGCUCACCAAGGCGACGAUCCGUAGCUGGUCUGAGAGGACGACCAGCCACACUGGAA
rnacentral:rRNA from 1 species